rnacentral:rRNA from 1 species
UACAGAGGUCUCAAGCGUUGUUCGGAUUCAUUGGGCGUAAAGGGUGCGUAGGCGGCGCGGUAAGUCGGGUGUGAAAUCUCGGAGCUUAACUCCGAAACUGCAUUCGAUACUGCCCGUGCUUGAGGACUGGAGAGGAGACUGGAAUUUACGGUGUAGCGGUGAAAUGCGUAGAUAUCGUAAGGAAGACCAGUGGCGAAGGCGGGUCUCUGGACAGUUCCUGACGCUGAGGCACGAAGGCCAGGGGAGCAAACGGG